UAUGCUCUGCUCUGGCUGGUCAAACGGAACCAAGCCCGUCUUCUUCGGAGGUUUGGUCCCCUUCAACCAGCUAUAGCAGUGUUGAAAA
rnacentral:pre_miRNA from 7 species